CACCUACCCAAAAUCUUCUCUUUAAAUCUUGUUUCUGAGAGGCCAAUAAAUCCGAGAGAGGGGUUGAACCAAGCUGUUUUUGAAAUAAGAAGGAAAAAGAAAAGGGAACAUUGAUAAGAGUCGAAGAAGCUGAAGAAGGAAAGGAAGGUCGCUGGAAGGAAGGAGCUGAUCGUUGGAUUUAACGAACCGUUGGACCCGACCCGACCCAAUUAGCAGAUUCUGGUCCACUACCCAAAACUAGACUCGAAGGACUUAAUUGUAGAUCUUUGAACGAAUUGGAAAUUUGUUGAAGACCCGAAACAAGCUCGAAAAGUCUACAACAAGUGCUAAGUAGACCAAUGUCGGUGGCGGGAAUGUGUGGAGUCGUGCGGCUACAGUGGAGACCCUUAAAUCGAGUCCUCUUUGUCCACGUCGUUUUAAUGCCAUUUUGAUGUUUAUUUUUGGAAAACUUAUGCUAUUUUGUAACUGUUUUUCUUUUGUUGUGUUUCCGCGGAUCCCGUUAAGUUUUGGAACUAUUUGGAUUUUUAAUGCUUAUCAGAUAACAUUAAUUUUAUUGUGUCUCCCGUUUUAUCAAAUGAAAAUGUUGUAGGGCUUUUUA